UACGGGGGGAGCAAGCGUUGUUCGGAUUUACUGGGCGUAAAGGGCGCGUAGGCGGCCACCGCAAGUCGACUGUGAAAUCUCCGGGCUUAACCCGGAAAGGUCAGCCGAUACUGCGGGGCUAGAGUGCAGAAGGGGCAACUGGAAUUCUCGGUGUAGCGGUGAAAUGCGUAGAUAUCUGGAGGAAUACCGGUGGCGAAGGCGGCAUCCUGGACCGGCAUUGACGCUGAGAGCGAAAGCCAGGGGAGCAAACGGG
rnacentral:rRNA from 1 species